rnacentral:rRNA from 1 species
UACGUAGGGCGCGAGCGUUGUCCGGAUUUAUUGGGCGUAAAGAGCUCGUAGGCGGCUUGUUGCGUCGACUGUGAAAACCCGCGGCUUAACCGCGGGCUUGCAGUUGAUACGGGCAGGCUAGAGUUCGGUAGGGGAGACUGGAAUUCCUGGUGUAGCGGUGAAAUGCGCAGAUAUCAGGAGGAACACCGGUGGCGAAGGCGGGUCUCUGGGCAGUAACUGACGCUGAGGAGCGAAAGCGUGGGGAGCGAACAGG